rnacentral:rRNA from 1 species
UACGGAGGAUGCGAGCGUUAUCCGGAUUUAUUGGGUUUAAAGGGUGCGUAGGCGGAUCGUUAAGUCAGUGGUCAAAUUGAGGGGCUCAACCCCUUCCCGCCAUUGAAACUGGCGAUCUUGAGUGGAAGAGAAGUAUGCGGAAUGCGUGGUGUAGCGGUGAAAUGCAUAGAUAUCACGCAGAACCCCGAUUGCGAAGGCAGCAUGCCGGCUUCCUACUGACACUGAAGCACGAAAGCGUGGGGAUCGAACAGG